AAGUCGCGAGUGCGACGUCUCGCUUCGUCUUCUGCCUCUGGUAUUAUCCCGGCCAGGGCACAAAAACUCCUGAUUCCACUAAUCACCUCACCUCCUUACACCAAACCAAUUAGCUGACUGCUGAUUGAUCACAUGAAGUGGUUGUGAGAGUAAUGGCAUUGUGGCAUCUGUCUGUUUGAAGGCUAUUUUCUAGAGCUUGGCAGAAGCCCCACCUGAAGCUGAUGGAGGGCUGAGUGAGGACUGCUUGGUGGGCACAUAGUAAGAUAUGAGAACGGAACAUAGUGUGUUUCACUCUACAAAAGAAGCAGAUUAUGGUGGACCGGAGGGACCAAGGAAACUAGAAGCCUAAGAAGAUGACCCCUAUCACUUCUGGCAUCUUGUCGACAGCAAGUUCUUCUGCUCCCAGUCAUUGAAGUUCAUCAACAGCGACGGCGUGUGAUCGGAAAGCAGACUGUGCCAGUAAAGAGGCUGAGCUCACCUGUAUCCAGCCAAUGCCACCUUCCCAAGCAAAACCAACAGCACCCACUCCACUGUCUGUUUUAUCUUCUCUAUCAUCAUCCUCUCAUCUCUGCCUCUACUUUCUCUUAAAGAGACAAUCUGCAGUUGCUACAUACAUUUUUGGACUUAUAAAUGAACGAGAUAUAUAUAUCCAUUGAUUCUUGAAGAAUGUAAUUUAUCAAUGCCUCAAACUGAGUUGAACUGUUUUACCCCAUCCGAACAUAAUAUACUUUGGCUUAAAACAAGCUUAAUCUUUGUUGACAAAGUAAAUAUACACAAACAUAUAGUCUUAACAUGGUUCAAAAUACAAUUUUGAUAUCAUGGAGGUCAGCCCCAUCCCUCAGCUUUUUACUGAAAUGGGUGGGGAAUUGGCUUUAUUGUUUCAACUGCCGAUUGCCUCUAACUCAUCCUCUUUCUCUGCUCAGUGUGGUUGAUGGAGGGCAAAGUGGAUGCGUGUCAGGGUGACAGUGUGUUCCUAUCCUGGUUUUGGCAGCUGGUGGGGGUGAAGUACUGCUGAAAAUCCAGUUUCUCUCAGCGGUAACUACUAUAAACUGACUGGUAUUCGCUCUCGAUUAGCGCUGAGUGGUUCUGGAAAACAUUCACACAGUCAAAAGACAUACAUACUGCACUGACUCACAAUACUGACCUGUAAAGUUUCUUUGUGUUCUUAUUUUAUAUUAUCUUAGAGAUGUAAGUACUUUAUGAGUUAUGCAUUUCAUUUUUUACAAAUAUUUUGUGGUUGAUUAAUGAUUUGUGCAAUUUUGACAGGCAAAAAAAGACAAUGUACUGUUAUAUUCAAAAGUUUAUUGGAUUCUUGUGGCUUUUUAUAAUAAAUCAUAUUUGAGCAGA